rnacentral:misc_RNA from 1 species
GUAGGUGAACCUGCGGAAGGAUCAUUAAUGAAACUUCAAGUCGGCUUGUUUUAUCUGUUUGCUGGUGGAGACACAUGUGCACGUUAAACAAGUCGCAAAUCCACACACCUGUGCAUCUUAUGACUCUGAGUUUGCCGCUUAGCAUGGUCCUUACCGGCCUGGCAAACUCGAGUAUUUUUACACCCUCUUGAAUGUAAUGGAAUGU